GUUUUUGUAAUUUAAUUUAAAAUAUUGAUUUUGUAAAUCAAAAAUAAUUGAAUAUUCGUAAACA
rnacentral:tRNA from 1 species